rnacentral:ncRNA from 1 species
UACUUUGCGUUGACGAAGAGUAGUAACGAUUACGGAAACUAAAGAGAGCUGAUGGUUGGUGCGAAUCAGUGUGAAAGUAAUCGCGAAUGGACUUCUGAGCAUUCAAACCGAACCUUAAAUAAGUAGUAGGCUUUGGCGAGUAGUCUUCUCGUUACAAAAGACGGGUAUUCAAUGAAAAGUUGAUUGGAUACCGACAAAGCGAGCUGUUAAUCAGCUAAUGAAGGUGGCACCACGGGUCUCUCGUCCUUUUU